GUGAGAUGAUUUCAAUCAACAAACUGAUGUUCAGUGGGGGAGGACAAUUAAUAACAUGUUAGAGUUGCAUGUAGUUACA